AAGGAUCAUUUAUUGUCUCGUGGUUUCUGUGGAUCAGAAUUCCAGAGCAGCUUGGCUGGACAGUUCUCUCCUGAGACCUCUCACAAGGUUGCAACCAGAUGGCUAGAGCGGCAGCCAUCAGGAGGCUGGACAGUGAUGGAGGAUCCACCUGCACUCCCCCGCAUGGCUGUCCUUGUUGUUAGGAGUACUUGUUGAACCCUGAUGAGAAGUGCAUCCAAGUGGCAAACAAUUAUGAAAUCUACCAAAGGAUUUUUGAGGAGAAUCUCAG
rnacentral:lncRNA from 1 species